CGAAGAAAUUACAAUCAAAUCCGCUUAAUCCGUAUAAUCAAAUUUAGUAUUUCUUUAGGGCUACCGUGCAAUCGAACAAUGGUAUUACAGAAAAACCUUAGGACAACCACUAUAUUAGGUUCUGGGAUUAACAGCUUCCAAAAGUUCGAAAAGCGGAAACUAUUUCCGAAAACAGGAGGAUUUUUGCAGUACCAAUUUGGCAGAGAUGUUAUGUGUUAUACUGGUUACACAGCGACUCUUACACAAACCGGUCUCCGUAAUACAUGUUCUACGUUUUGCGCAUCAUGAUUCAUUCAGGAAGUACCAAAUAAAACUGUAUCAAAGUUUUUGGUUUUUUCAACCAAAAUAAAUAUCAGUUGGAUAAAAUGUGAAGCAGGCUGCGAGCCAUUAAAAUGGCGCCUGGAAGAAGAGAUAUAAUAAAAGAUGAUACACAACAUUCUAAUGUAUAAAAACGAUUAUCAAAAUUAUUGAUGUGUAUAUUUUGUUAAAGCUUU